AAGUCGUAACAAGGUAACCGUAGGUGAACCUGCGGUUGGAUCAUUAACGAAAAAAAUUUCAAAAAAAAGAAGGAAAAUGGAAAGAAAAAGGGCAUUUAAACGGAGUUGUAUCCGUUUAAAUUAUUUUUUGUUUCCAAUUUUUUUUUUUUGUAAUCCCCCCCCUGUGAAUGUUUUUAAUGUAAAAUAGUUUUUAUUUUAAAACUUGGAAAUGGUUUCUCGAAAGUUUUGACGUAAGUUUUGGCUUUGGAGAGAGCCUUUUUUGAGUUUUUUUUUUGAAAACCAAAACAAUAACCUAUAUGAAUCUUUUUUAUUUCGAGUAUAAUUUUUUAAUUAAAAUAACAAAAAAGUUUAAAAACAACUUUUGACAACGGAUCUCUUGGCUCUC
rnacentral:misc_RNA from 1 species